GAUGAAGAACGUAGCGAAAUGCGAUAAGUAGUGUGAAUUGCAGAAUUCAGUGAAUCAUCGAAUCUUUGAACGCACAUUGCGCCCUUUGGUAUUCCUUAGGGCAUGCCUGUUCGAGCGUCAUUUAAACCUUCAAGCUCAGCUUGGUGUUGGGUGACUGUCCGCCGCCUCCGGGCGGUCGGACUCGCCUCAAAUCGAUUGGCGGCCGGUACUUUGGCUUCGAGCGCAGCAGAAACGCGAACUCGAGGCCGUCGUCCUGGCUCCCAGAAGCUAUCUUCACAAUUUUGACCUCGGAUCAGGUAGGGAUACCCGCUGAACUUAAGCAUAUCAAUAAGCGGUGGA
rnacentral:misc_RNA from 1 species